CUAGUACAAAAAUGGUGGUCUCUAUACAUAUACGGGUACAACUCUCAACCUCUCACAAAAAGAAAACACGAGAGGUAGACCACCUAUCGAACGAUCCCUCGGUAAGCACGCUAGCCCGAGGCGAUACCCUUUCCGCGAUCCCUGGCCUCUCCCUGCGUGGAAGGCUCUGAAAAACAUCGAGAGAAAGAGGGCGUGAGAACUAUAAUUUAUAGUUCCCAGUGGGCAAUUACUGACCUCAGCUCAUGCUCCACUAGGCCCCAAAAAUAAGGGUAAGCAACGAUAAUAAUAAUAAGCAAUAAGGAGCAUGUAAAUAAACUGCUGAAAGAAAGCAUAAUUGAAAUGCUAGUCUACUGUGUCUCAAGUAAGCAUGAUGUCAACCAAAAUGUACAUCUAUCUAUCAUUACAAUUAAGUCCAAUAGCACUAGUUUAAUGUUGUUAACCUUUGUCAAUGCAUGAUGUAGAAGUUCUAUCAUGACAACCAAGUAUACUACAUGUCUCACACUAUGCCAAAAGCAUGUAAAUGUAAUCCGUCUACUAAGCCUAUCUAGUAGUGAUUAUUCAUUCUCAAACCGUGUCGAUUUUCAUUUCCAAUUAAGGAUCUACCCAAGGUAGUCCGGCUUGUGCCGCCUAAGUGCCUGUGGUAGCCCGACAUUCCUACCCAUGGAAUGUGUCUGUCCCACUCGACCCCG
rnacentral:lncRNA from 1 species